rnacentral:rRNA from 1 species
CUAAUACAUGCAAGUCGAACGCUUCUUUUUCCACCGGAGCUUGCUCCACCGGAAAAAGAGGAGUGGCGAACGGGUGAGUAACACGUGGGUAACCUGCCCAUCAGAAGGGGAUAACACUUGGAAACAGGUGCUAAUACCGUAUAACAAUCUAAACCGCAUGGUUUUGAUUUGAAAGGCGCUUUCGGGUGUCGCUGAUGGAUGGACCCGCGGUGCAUUAGCUAGUUGGUGAGGUAACGGCUCACCAAGGCGACGAUGCAUAGCCGACCUGAGAGGGUGAUCGGCCACAUUGGGACUGAGACACGGCCCAAACUCCUACGGGAGGCAGCAGUAGGGAAUCUUCGGCAAUGGACGAAAGUCUGACCGAGCAACGCCGCGUGAGUGAAGAAGGUUUUCGGAUCGUAAAACUCUGUUGUUAGAGAAGAACAAGGAUGAGAGUAACUGUUCAUCCCUUGACGGUAUCUAACCAGAAAGCCACGGCUAACUACGUGCCAGCAGCCGCGGUAAUACGUAGGUGGCAAGCGUUGUCCGGAUUUAUUGGGCGUAAAGCGAGCGCAGGCGGUUUCUUAAGUCUGAUGUGAAAGCCCCCGGCUCAACCGGGGAGGGUCAUUGGAAACUGGGAGACUUGAGUGCAGAAGAGGAGAGUGGAAUUCCAUGUGUAGCGGUGAAAUGCGUAGAUAUAUGGAGGAACACCAGUGGCGAAGGCGGCUCUCUGGUCUGUAACUGACGCUGAGGCUCGAAAGCGUGGGGAGCAAACAGGAUUAGAUACCCUGGUAGUCCACGCCGUAAACGAUGAGUGCUAAGUGUUGGAGGGUUUCCGCCCUUCAGUGCUGCAGCUAACGCAUUAAGCACUCCGCCUGGGGAGUACGACCGCAAGGUUGAAACUCAAAGGAAUUGACGGGGGCCCGCACAAGCGGUGGAGCAUGUGGUUUAAUUCGAAGCAACGCGAAGAACCUUACCAGGUCUUGACAUCCUUUGACCACUCUAGAGAUAGAGCUUCCCCUUCGGGGGCAAAGUGACAGGUGGUGCAUGGGUGUCGUCAGCUCGUGUCGUGAGAUGUUGGGUUAAGUCCCGCAA